UCUCUGGUGGUCCAGUGGUUAGGACGCCACACUGCCAAUGCGGGGGGCCUGGGUUCGAUCCCUGGUCGGGGAA